AAUGAACGCUGGCGGCAUGGAUUAGGCAUGCAAGUCGAACGAGAAACUCUUCGGAGUGGAAAGUGGCGAAAGGGUGAGUAACGCGUGAGUAACUUGCCUCCAAAUCGAGGAUAACAGUUGGAAACGACUGCUAAUACUGGAUGUGAUUAAAGAAUCGCAUGUUUCUUUAAUUAAAGAUCCGUUGUUUGGAGAUAGGCUCGCGUCCCAUUAGUUUGUUGGUAAGGUAACGGCUUACCAAGACUUUGACGGGUAGGUGGUCUGAGAGGAUGGUCACCCACACUGGGACUGAGACACUGCCCAGACUCCUGCGGGAGGCUGCAGUCGAGAAUCUUCCGCAAUGCGCGAAAGCGUGACGGAGCAAUGCCGCGUGAAUGAUGAAGGCCUUCGGGUCGUAAAGUUCUGUCAGGGGUGAAGAACAUUGACAUUAACCCCAGAGGAAGCCACGGCUAACUACGUGCCAGCCGCCGCGGUAAU
rnacentral:rRNA from 1 species